UACGGGGGGAGCAAGCGUUGUUCGGAUUUACUGGGCGUAAAGGGCGCGUAGGCGGCCACCGCAAGUCGGUUGUGAAAUCUCUGGGCUUAACCCAGAAAGGUCAACCGAUACUGCGGGGCUAGAGUGCAGAAGGGGCAAGUGGAAUUCUCGGUGUAGCGGUGAAAUGCGUAGAUAUCGAGAGGAACACCUGCGGCGAAGGCGGGUUGCUGGGCUGACACUGACGCUGAAGCGCGAAAGCUAGGGGAGCGAACGGG
rnacentral:rRNA from 1 species